AGCCUCUUUACAGCUACCACAGUUCCAUCUGGGAGCUUUCCUCGGUAAACGUUUCCAAAGCCACCUUUUCCUAAGAUGUUCUUGUUGCUGAAGUUCUCUGUUGCAACCUGAAGCUCUCUGAACUGAAACCUCUUCACAUUUCCUAGGUUGACAUUCUCUGUGUGUUGCUCUGCAAUAACCAAUGCGUUACGACAAAAACAACCGUGGCAUGCUAGUAACUGAUACCAGGAUGCUCCCAAAUUUCACAAGCAUUGAGGCAUUAUGGAUUUAUGACUUAAAUCAGUAUUGGCAUUUUACUUACC
rnacentral:lncRNA from 1 species